GUAUCAUGCGUUGUCAUUUUCUAUUUCAUUUAUUUUAUCUUUAUGCUCAAAAUUUAAAGGGAAUUUAUCUGAAAGUCAAGGAUGAAAAAAUUAUGUUUAUCUAUAGACACAUUCUUGAAAUUGGAUAAAGCCUCUAACCCUAAAUUAAAAAUCCAAUGUGGCACCUGCUCUUCUCUAAGCAGAAUUAUAGAACUUUAGAAAGGGAGAACUCCUUUCAAUUUAUUCAUUCUCUAUCCAUUCAUUUAUUUAGUCAUGGCUUCAACAAAUAAUACUGACUACCUGCUGUGCCAGCCACCAGAAAUACAGGGUUGAGCAGGAGGGACAAGGUUUCUGUCUUCAUGAAGUUUACAUUUCUGGUGGUUGAGGGAAAGGUUGAAUUUGCAACGCAUAGAAAAAUUAAUGGUGUAAGGUCCCAGAGACAAAGGAUGGAGGGAGGGAAUUCAUAUCCAGUACAUAUGUGGAAUGACUCGCCUUUGAGAAGGUGGACAGGUGAGAUGUAGGAGAGCAUAGUAUAAUUAGUUUUGGGAAAUUGAAGGAGCCUAAUUGGAUGGCUUCUGAUUUUUCUGUGAAGUGUGAGGCAUGAUUAUCUUGAUCAAUGAUGGUGUUUGGAGUUUGAGAAGAAUAGAGCAUGCUUAUAUAGUUAGAAUAAUCUUUGCAGAGUGAAAUAGCAAUUUGAUAUACUUGAACAGAGUAAGAUAAGGUGACAUGUUUGCUCAGAAUUAUCUUUGGGGUGAAGAGAUGGAUAGUACCACUGUUUCUAUCUGUAGCUGGAUCCUUUUUCUUAAUGUGUUAGCAUAUUCUAUUAGCUUACAUGGAGAGAAACAUUGCAGUGGGGUGGCUUUGACAUGGACUUAGCAAUGCUGAACAAAUUUCUUAAUGUUCCCAAGUUCUUUAAGAGUGCAUCCACCAUAUCUUCUGUGCACCUUAUAUACUAGAUUACUAGACUACUUAAUUUUAUCCCACAACAUUGUAUCAGAACUCACUCAUAUAGUUGUGACAGCAAGUGAAUCCAUCUUAGCAAAAGGGCACACCUGAAGAUGGAUUGUCACCAGGACGUACUCUCCAUUUCUAUCUCUGCAUGAUUUUUUGUGUCAGCAUUAUUCUUUGGAAUGAGGUCCUUUAUACAUGGUUAUUAGCAGUGCUAUAGAUCACGUGUUUAAUUUUGACACCAAAGAGGAUUGUUCUUCUUCCCUAACUUCUCAUUUAGUCUGUUCUAGGACAGGAUUCUGACUUGUAUCACUGAGAGGAUGGAAUAUUGUGAUUGACAGCCCCCACUUGCUUGCAAUGACAGUAAGAAUGAGAUACUGGUCUCAGAGAAUGGGAGUUCUUGGCACACAAAGCAAUAGAUACCCAUUUGUUUCUUUCCAGUGUGCAGACACACCCUUCUUCAUACAUUGAAUAAUACUUUUGCCAAACAUUGCAGUUUUCCUUUUACAACCACAAAUAUACCAUCUCUCUGUAACAUGCCUGCCCAACUGCAGCUUCUGUCUCCAAGGCUAAGAUUUGUUGAUAGUGUUCAUUCCCCUCAGUCAGGUAUGGAUGGCACUGAAAUCUAUAGGCUAAGUGAAAAAUACGAAAAUACCGUUGUCCCUUAAUAUCUGUAGGGGAUUGAUUCCAGGGCCUCUGACAGGUACCAAAAUCCAAGGACACUCAAGUCCCUGAUAUAAAAUGGCAUAGUAUCUGCAUAUAACUGAUGCAUAUCCUCCCAUAUACUUUAAACUGUCUCUGGAUUACUUAUAAUAUCUAAUACUGUGUAAAUAGUUGUUAUGUUGUAUUCUUUGGGGAAUAAUGACAAGGAAAAAAGUCUGUACAUAUUCAAUGCAGACAGAAUUUUAGAGGGAAUAUUUUCCAUCCACCGUUGGUUGAAUACACAGUUGCAGAACCCACAGAUAUGGAGGGUUGACUGUAUCUGACAUACCUCACAUAAAGUACUAGAGAAAAAAAAAAGAAUAAUUUCAAUUCAAGAAAAGUCAAAAAGGGGAAGUAUAACAGCUAUCACUUAUUCGGAGUAUUUACUACUUCCUGCUAGACAGGUAUAUAGCACAGUUAACCCAUGUGAGCAUCUUUUCAUUGAUUCAUUUCCUAGCAAUGGAUUGACUUAAUUGGUUAGUUUAUUCCAAAGUCCCAGAUUCUACUGAUAAAAUUUUCCUUGUCCACUGUUUUCCUGGACCCAGUGGCCCAGGAAACCUCCUCUAUUGGAGGAUUCUCCGGGUAGAAGCUCUUCUCCCUCAGCGGCCUAAUACAUAUGAAUAUAGAUACAGAACCUGAGGAUUGCUUAGCAGUUGAGACAUCACAGACACCUUGUACCAGGCUAGAAGUUUUUCUGCCAUUGUAUCUCCUUUAAAGCCUUAGUUAACUGUCUUGAGAAUUUCUGAUUGGUCAAGGCAGUUUUAAGUGUCAUGGGGCUUUUGUCUUUGUAGCAAGUUAGGAAGUUCGUCCUGCUUUCCAAAGGAACCUGCCUCUGCUUGUUUCUAUCUCUGUUCCUGCCUCAGAACCAAAGGGAAAAUAUAUGGAUGGGUUAAGACGUGCCCAUCUCCAGGCUUCUUUCCUGUCAGUUGCUUUAUCACUGGAGGACUUUUAACCUCUGUUUUUCCAUGGGGCUAUCAGGAGGAGCGUGGAAGUUUCAGCUGCCUUUAAUUCCUCAGGCUCUUCCUGGAUAUCCCCAUUUCAAUUUCCCAAGGUUUCCAAAUCACAUUAAUGUUAGCAGAUAAUUCAGCCUUACAAUCCAGAAUGUGCAUGGUUUCUAAUAAUUUACAAAAACUAAAAUUCACCAAUUUAGAGUAUAUAGUUUGAGUUUUGAAAAAUGUAUAGUUAUAUAAUCAUCAACACAAUUAAAAUAAAUAACAUUUCCAUUACCCAGAAAAGUUUAACUGUACUUUUGGCAGUAAUUGCUUCUCGUAUUACUCCCAUCCUAUGACGGUUAUGACAGAUGAUUAUCUGUCUUUGGGCCCUAUACUUUUGCCUUUUCUAAAAUUGCAAUAAAUGGAAUCAUGGGACUGCUUUGUGUUUGGCUUCAUUCACUUAGUGUUAUUCUUUGCAGAUUCAUGUAUAUUGUUAGGUGUUGUGUGAAUUAAUAGUUUCUCUCUUCUUAUUGCUUAAUAAGUAUUCCAUUAUUUGGAUAUCCCACAGUUUAUUGAUUCACCAGCUGAGCAUUCUGGUUGUUUCCAGUUUUGAACUGUUAUAAAUAAAGCCCCUAUGGACAUUCACAUAUAAGUUUUUGCACGUACAUAUGUUUUCAUUUCUUUUCAGAAGUUACCUAGGAGUAAAAGAGUAAGAUUGCUUCACCAUAUGCUAAAUAUAUCUUUAACUUUUUAAGAAAUUUCUAAAGUUUCUAUAUCAUUUUGCAUCCCUUAUACCUAUAUAUAUUAUGUCUUCCUGAUGAUUUGACCCCUUUGUCAUGAAAUGACGUCCGACACCCCUGGUUAUAUUCCUUAUUUUGGAGUCUACUUUGUCUAAUAUUAAUACAGCCACUUUAGUUUCCUUCAUAGUUUUUGCAUGCUAUACAAAUUUUGUUUCUAACUUUUUAUUGUUAAUUUAUGGUUGUGUCUUUAAAAUUGCUUUCUAUUAUAUGGAAUAUUGGUGGGUCUCGCUUUUUAUUGUAAAUCACAGUAUCUGUCUUUUAAUUAGAGUGCCUAUACCAUUUACAUUUAUAGUAGUUAUUAGUAUAGUUGACUUUAAAUCUGCCGUCUUACUGUUGGUUUCUUAUUUAUUCCGUCUGGUCUUUUCCUUUCUUGUGUAGGAUUAUUUUUUGUGUGUGGUUCUGUUUUUUGUCACUAUUGGCCUGUUUGCUGUACUUCUUUAAUUAUUUUAGUGUUUGCUGCAAGGUUUACAGUGUACAUCUUUAAUUUGUCACAGUUCACCUUCAAAUUGUACUGCUUCAUUUAUGGUUUGAGACCCUUAUAGCAAGUUAAUUCCCCUUAUCUCUUCCUAGCCUUUGUGAUGUUGUCCUAUAUUUUAAUUCUAUGUUCUAAAACUUAAAGUAGUUCAUUGUUAAUAUUUUUGCUUUAAGCAGAAACCUUUUUUUUACUUUUACCCCCACAUAACUGCUGUCAGGAAUUUUUCUCAUGUUUUAUCAGUGUGAAAAUAUCUUUAUUUUCACCUUAAUUUUAGGAAUGUAUAUUCACUGGGUAUAGAAUCCUUUGGCAGGUUGUUUUUCCUUUCAAUACUUAAAGAUGAUGUUUCAUUUUUCCCUGCCCUGCAGGAUUUCAGACAAAAAAAGUCUCCUAUCAUUCUUAUCUUUGUUCCUCUGCACCCAAGAUGGCUUUUUCUGCUACUAUGAAUGCUUUCAAGAUUUUUCUAUCUCUGGUUUUCAUCAAUUUUAUUAUGUGAUGCCUUAGUGUGAUUUUCUUUAUGUUUUCCUUAUUUGGUGUUUAUUGGGGUUCUUGGAUUCAUAGGUUCAUGUUUUUUUCAGCCAUUAUUUCUUAAAGCCUCCACUCCUGUUAUGGGACUUGUUUGCUAUAUGAUACUCAGUGCUAUCCCAAGGGUUUCCUGAAGCUCUUUCCAAUAUUUUUAACUCUUUGUCAUUUCAGUACUUUAUUUGAUAGUUUUUAUUCUUCAUUUACUUCAUUUUUCAUUUCAUAAUCAGCAUGUUUAUCUUUGAAGUUCAACUUGGGUCUAUUUUAUAUCUUCCGUUUCUCUCCUUAUCAGGUUGAUGUUUUUCUUCAUGUCCUUGAAUAUAUUUAUUCUGUUUAUAAUUGCUUUUUUAAGGUUCUUCUCUUUGAUAACCUUCCUUUCUGUCGUUUCUGGAACUGUUGCAUUAUUUUUUUUCUGCUGGCUUUAGUCAUAGUUGGUUUUUUUUUCCUUUUUCUUUGCAUUCCUUGUAAUUUUUGAGUGCCAGACAUUGUGAAUUUUCCAUUUUUCAGGUGCUACUUUUAGUUGUAUUCAUCUAAAAAAAACACUGGAUUUUCUCCUGGUGUGCGGGUAAGUAACUUGCAGAUUAACUGAAUUCUUUAGACGCUUGCCUUUACCCUUUGUUCUGGUGGAUCCAGAGCAGUCUUUAUUCUGGGACUUAUUUAAAUAUUUCCAUUAAUAAGGCAUUCUUGUUCUUCUUCAGCCUCUUUCCAAUAUGGCAUGUAUUACACAGUCUAUCCACUCUAGCUGAUGAAAACAUAAAUUCUUCUUAGCCCUGUGUGAGCCCUUGAAAUUGUCCAUCCCACUACUUUAUUUUUCCCAUGCCUUGAAUUAUUUCCUUUCACUAGUGCUAAGAUCGAUGCUACAGCCAAGAGCAGAGUAUCCUCUGCAGGUCUUCAGAACCAUCUGUUUUUGUAACUCUCCCCUCUGUUUUACGCAGCUCUACAAAUUCUAGCCCUCUCAGCAUCACUAAACUCCUUUCUUAUCUCCGCAUCACUAAACUCCUUUCUUACCUCCUCAACUCAGCAUGACUCACAGGCUCUGUUUAGGUACCCUCUUCCACUGUUGGAACCGAGACUCUUUCUCUAAGCAGUAAGCCAGUCUUAACUCAUUUGUUUCUUUCUCUUCAGAAUUAUAAUCCAAUGUUUUCUGUUUUGAAAUGUCUAAAAAGUUUUGUUUUAUAUACUUACAUAGACUUUUUAAGUUAUUAUAGUAGGGCAGUUUCUAUAGCAGUUACUGUUUCUUGGGCAUAAGCAGAACUAAGCUGAUUCAUGAUCCCUUUUGUUAAGAAACGUCUUUCCAGUUGCUUCCCGCUUUAAGACCUAAUAUUUACUGAACUAUGAAAUUAAUAAGGAAUUCUAAGCAUUCAAGUAAAAGCAAACAGUUUAGUUAUAUAUUUGGAGAUGUAGAAAAGCUUUCGUUUCCUUCCCGUCUAAUCCUGUCUCCCCCACCAACCUCAUUUGUUGGAUUUUCAAUCAUGUCUGGUUGAACAGGUUUAUCUAACUAUUUGGCUGCUGCUCCUUCUUGGAAAUCUACCAGAAUGCCUUAAUUGUUUCUGAAUGUUUUUGCCUUCUUCUUUUGAGAGAUGGUCACUAUAAACAAAUUAGAGAAAUGUUUUAUAGUAAGGACUUACACAACCUGCUAUAAAACACAUCACUUUUUAUUUACACUACACAGAAAAAAAUGAAAACAACAGUGGAGCUUUCCUGGAAUAGGAGCUCCAAAUAAUUCUGAGAAUCCUGAAUGCUGUUUUUUGGACACAAAAAGUAGAUACUUAUUUUCUAAAUACUUACUUUGAUUAAGCAUGGUCACUAUAGGUAGACCUAUAUUACAUUUGUAUGUAAAUUUAAACCUGGCCAGGUGCUCUGAUGACAAAUAUUACAAAAAGUGUUUUAUAAGUGAAAAUUUGAAUCAAAGCUGCAUGGAAAGGUUAUUUUGUUUUAAAUGCUGAUACACUUGUCUCAAAUGGACCAUUUAUUUCACUCAAGAUUUGGUGUCUUUUUUUUUUAAUUAACUUUAAACAUUCAGUUUGUCAGACUGCAUCCAUAUUUUUAAACCUUGGAGGUUUUCUUCAUUUUUUGCCUUUUAAAGUUAUGCUCAGUUCAGAAAUUCUGCCUCCAGGAGACAAAUUGUUGUACCUAUCUUAGAAGUAUGUAUUUUUACAAAGACCUAUUAAAUCUGACAUUAAGGGAAAGCUUUGAAAAGUCAAAUUUGGAAAACAAAACGCAUCUCCUGGGUUUUGUCAGAUACAAUAAAAAACAAAAUUCAGUAUAAGCUCUUAGUUUUCUCAAUAUGAUGUAACAUACUUGUGGAAAUCAAGAAAGAAACUGGAAACAACAUACCCAAAAUAUAAAUGAUCUACACAAUAACAAUAGUGAUAAUUAAAUGAUUGCUAAAUAUUAGAGCUUUAUCCUAAGCAUUUCAUGCAUUAAUACAUUUAAUCUUGGUCCUAUAAAGCAGAUAUUAUUAUUGUCCUCAUUUUAUACAUGAAGACACUGAUCCUAAGCAUCUUAACCAAGGAUGUAGUAUAGAAUAGCAGUGUAUCUGGUGGAACAAAAAUCUGAUUAUACCAAACUAAUAGUAGCAUAUUGUUAAAAGCAAUUCCGAUGAGAAAAUAUGCUUAUGAAAUGUUUAAAUUCUGCAUUUUUUGUGUAGUUGGGACAGUCUGUCACUGUGUAGCAUGUAUUUAGAUAACUGGAGGUCUCAAGCUAGGGACAGUGAAGCCUGAACAUUUCUUUUACUUGGCCAACACAGUGCUGUUUAAACACUGAAUUGCCUGGAUGUAGGCAUUUUCUGGUUGACCAUAGUUUUCACAGCUCCCUGUAGCCUUAUACCAAACUUCCUCAUACAUUAAGGGGGAGAAGUACAGUAGGGCCAUGUUGACAUUUUCCAAGAUAAUAAGACAUACAGAUAGGAUGAUGGGUUGGAAAAGAGAACCCAGAAGCAGCAGUCUCCAGUGUUUAUAAAAAUUUGAUGGAUGAUAUAGAAAGUAAGUCAGAUAAUUAGAAGCAAAAAUUCUUCCGUAAUUUAUGUUGAGAAGUGUGUGUGUGUGUGUGUGUGUGUGUGUGUGUAUUCCCCACCUCAGUUCUAACACAAAAACCAGUUUCACGUAGAUUAAAGAUAAAAAUUUGAGAAACAAGGUUCUAAGAUUUUUAGAAGAACAUGUGGGACAGUAACUUCAUGACUUUUGGGUAGAAAGUGAAUUCUUAAGAUUUAUAAAAGCAGCUGGGUACAGUGGCUCACACCUGUAAUCCCAAUACUUUGGGAAUCCAAGACAGGAGGAUCACUUGAGCCCAGGAAUUCAAGACCAGCCUGGGCAACAUAGCAAGACAUCAUCUCUACAUAUAAACAGGCAUACGUAUAUACAUACAUAUUUACAAAAACAGUAAAAAAAAAUUGAUAUGUAUAAUUACACUAAAAGUAAAGACUUUAUAUUAAAAUUGUACUUAAAAAUGAAAGAUAAUUCACAGAUUAAGAUACUUGUAGCAUAUUACCAAUAAAGGAUUAGGAUCCAUGGUAAUAUUUAUAAAGAAAUUUUUUUUUUCAUUAUUUUUUCUUUUAUUCUUUUUUUUUUAAUACUUUAAGUUUUAGGGUACAUGUGCACAAUGUGCAGGUUAGUUACAUAUGUAUACAUGUGCCAUGCUGGUGUGCUGCACCCAUUAACUCGUCAUUUAGCAUUAGGUAUAUCUCCUAAUGCUAUCCCUCCCCCCUCCCCCCACCCCACAACAGUCCCCAGAGUGUGAUGUUCCCCUUCCUGUGUCCAUGUGUUCUCAUUGUUCAAUUCCCGAGAAAUUUUAAAUUACUUAUAAAAAAUACAACUCAGUAGAAAAAUGGGCAAAAACUUGAAGAGGCCAUGCUCAGAAAAUGAAACUGAGAUGAUCAAUACAUAUAUGAAGACAUAUUCAACCUUAUUGAUAUUCAAGGAUAUUCAUUAAACAUAUAGUGAAAUGUCAUUUCACAUGUUACCUUGACAAAAAUUAAAAGAAUACCAAGUGUUGGUAAGGAUUUGGAGCAAUGGGCCCUCUUCUACCCUGCAAAAGUAUUAGUGGUAUCAUUUGUACUUCAGAAAGCAGUUGGCAAUAAUAAAGUUGGAAAUGUUUAUUCUUAUAUCUCAGUUAAUUAGUCAUAAGGGUGUAUACACCUAUAAAAACUCUUAGUGUUACAGAAGUCAUGUUUAUAGCAACAUUAUAAUAGCUCAAAAUUUAAAAACUUAAAUGUCCAUUAAUAAGAGAUUGAAUGGAUUUUGUAUAUCCAUAUAAUUGAAAAGGAAGGAGCUAGAGUUCCACGUAUCAACAUGGAGGAAUCUCACCAGUGGUAAUGUUGAAUGAAAAAAAGCGGCUUGCAGAAGAAUCUGCACGUAAGAUAACAUUUGAAAGCAUGCAAAACAAUACUAUUUUUAGUAAGAAUACAUUCAUAUAUUGAAAUUAUUAAACAUAGAAUGGUUGUUACUUCUGGAAAGGAGAAUAACAGGCAGUCACUGACAAGUACCCAGUGGUUUCACUAUAUUGAUAAUAUAUAUUUUUUACAUUUGGCGGUAGUACAUGUAUACCUACUUUAUUACUCUUGAUAACCUUUUGAAGUCUUAUAUGUUUUACAAUUUUUUUUUUUUUUUUCUGAGAUGGAGUCUCGCUCAGUAACCCAGGCUGGAGUACAGUGGUACAUGCAAUUGUAGCUCACUGCAGCCUCAGACUUCUGGGCUCAGGUAGUCUUCCCACCUCAGCCACCCAGAUAGCUGGGACUACAGGCAUAUACCACCAUGCCCAGCUAAUUUUUUUUUUUUCCUUUUUCUUUUUUUUUUUUUUUUUUUUUUGGGGAGACGGGGGCUGACUAUAUUGCCCAGACUGGUCUUGAACUCUUGGCCUCAAGCAGUCCUCCUGCCUUGGCUUCCCAGAGCGCUGGGAUUACAGGCAUAAGCCACUGCUCCUGGCCUAUAAAUAAAAUUUUUAAAACUCAAUAGAACAUCUGAUUGCAUGGAAAAUUUAGAAACAUAUAAGGAUGUUUUUCUUAAAAUCUGCACAGGAAAAUUACAAUUAGAAAACUCAGUAAACAAAAAUCCGUAGCGACAGAAAACGGUGACCAGACACAGUGGCUCACGCCUGUAAUCCCAGCAUUUUGGAAGGCCAAGGCAGGAGGACCGUUUGAAUCUAGGAGUUCAAGACCAGCCUGGACCAUAUGGUUAUAGCUGUCUCUACAAAAAGAUUUUUUGAAUGAAAAUUGAAAAGAAAAAAUGACUUUGUGAUCGCCAUCAUUAUAGCAUAAUUAAUAAUUUAAAAUCUUACCAUAGUAAUAGAAUUUUGGUUACUCACAUUUAGAUAUGUGAAAGAUUUAAUUGUGGUACACAUUAAAAUAUAAAUAUUGUGCAACUUGAACCUGUAAGAGUACAGAUGAUAGAAGGUGGGAGGUAAAACUGGAUAGAACUAAGAGGGAGCAGGGAGAGAGAUCCGUUAAGCUCCUCUUACAGAGAGGAAGUCAGAAGAUGCUGCCUGUACUGGAGAAAGAAGAAAUAAUGUCAGUCAUUAUUUGUCAAAUUAAUACAUAAGAAAGUGGCAACUAUGUGAGGUGAAAAGUAUGUCAGUUAGCUUCCUUGUGGUAAUUAUUUCACCAUUCAUAUGUAAAAACAUCAAAUUGUACACUUAUGUACAAUUUUUAUUGGUCAAUAACACCUUACUAAAGCUGGGGAAAAAAUUUUUCACUAAAAUAAUAAUAAUGUUAUGCUCCAUAAAACUACAGAGGUAAUCAAUACAGAUACAAAUAAAAGCUAUGUAAGUAUAUUGGGAAGAUGGAAUGGCAUAGUUAAGUUUGUUAAAUUCUCAUCUAGCACAGCACAAAACUGAGAGUGUGUUUACAGCCUAUUAUGACACAGUGGUAGAAGCACAUUGUUUAGGGAUAUAAUGUCACUUAACGACUCGGAGAAGUAAUUUGUUUCAAAAGGUUUUUUUGUAAAAUGGGAACAGAGGAGGUGGGAAGAAAUGAAUCAAAGGAGGCUAAUUGUGUGGACAUAUCACUUUAAUAAUUUUAAAAUAUUUUAAUCACAUUCUUUUAUAGAUUCUUUAGUCAUUGUACAGUCCUGAGAUUAGUUCUGAAUUUGAAAUAUUAAAAUAUUCAUCGCUUUUUAAGGAGGUGAGAACUAUGUGUGGUUCAGCUUUUCAAUCUCAUUGUAAAUACUGUGGAUACAAGGAGUGGUGUGGAGCACCUUGACAAGGUUGGAGAGGUUCACUCACUUUAGAGGGAUUUACACACCUGCCUGUCAUCAAAAGUUUAGAAAAUUUAGUCCCACAUGUCAAAUUUAAGAAAGUAGAAUUUAUUCUGAGUCAUCCAUACUGAAAAUAGUUUAUAAUGGUAAUGCAGGCAGAAUUCUUUGCUAUCGUGUAACAUUGGGAACAGCGACACUAUAAUUAAGAGAUAAUAAAAGUGGAAUUUUUUUUCCCAAAAGACAGUUGUGUCCUCCUGUUAGAGCAAGACUCUUUAAGUACAGGCAAAGCCAAGCAAUUAUUUUAAAACUAGGCUAAGGUUUUCCCUUCCCUUGGCACUUGGCUGUUCUCUGGCAGCAGGGUGUGUAACGGAGCAGUUUAAGAUGUUAAUACAAGGCCAAACAACAGCACUGUGAGGGCAGCCAUGUGAACGCGCAGGAGCACCUUGUCACGUGACUCUCUAGUUUUAAUGGAAUAUUGGCUGUUUUAGAUAGGAAAUACCCCAUUCACAAUUCAAAAUUUAGACUAAAAGAUUAAGUUCUAGGUUUUUACAUUCCGUAAUGAUGGCUCAUGUCUUUAAAAUCCAUGCUUUCUGGCAAUAAAGUCGGUUGAAAGAGGUCCUCCGCCAUCAUUCUCAUCAGGAGCAAUAGUCUUUUUUCUGAGACGGUGUCUCACUCUGUUGCCCAGGCUGGAGUGCAGUGGCACGAUGUCAGCUCACUGCAACCUCUGUCUCCCUGGUUCAAGCAAUUCUCCUACUGUGGCCUCCUGAGUAACAGGGACUACAGGUGUGUGCCACCAUGCCGGGCUAAUUUUUGUGUUUUUAGUAGAGAAGCGGUUUUGCUGUGUUGGCCAGGCUGGUCUCAAAUUCCUGACCUCAGGUAAUCUGCCCUUCUCAGCCUCCCGAAGUGCUGGGAUUGCAGGCGUGAGCCACCGUGCCUGGCUGGAAGCAAUACUCUUGACUAGGAACAAUGGAAUAUAAACUGCCAAUCUUAUAGCACCAAAAAAUCUGUGUUCAGAAUCUCUGAAGUAUUUUUCUGAAAGAGGAAUGUUCAGUUUUCACUGUGCAUGUGAUUUUUAGAGGUUAUUCUAUUUUCACUGCUGACUCGUUCUGUUUAUGAUUUCGGUUUAAUUAACAUUUAGGAGAAAGAAGAAAAUAAUUCUUCCAUCCCUGUUGUGGUAAUUUAAUGCAGUGUGUCAAAUUCUUUAAUAAUCUGAUGAAAAUUUGAAAUUAAAAAUACCGUACUAGUUUCCUAAAGGAAUUAAUCAUGGGGAUAAGAAUGUAUAUGCAAAAGAUGUUAUCACUAAUGUUAAUGGAAAUAUCAAACUCUGCAAAAUGUUUUCUCUUUUUUUCUUUUGUUGAGACAGGUCCUUGCUCACUCACCCAGGCCAUAGUGCAGUGGUGUGAUCUGGGCUCACUGCAACCUCUGCCUCCCAGGCUCAAGCAGUCCCCCCUACCUCAGCCUAUUGAAUAGCUGGGACCACAGGAAUGUGCUGUCACACCCCACUAAUUUUUUAUUUUUUAUAGAGAUAGGGUUGCACCAUGUUGCCCAGGCUGGCCUCAAACUACUGGGCUCAAGUGAUCCACCAGGCUUGGCCUCCCAAAGUGCUGGGAUUACAGGUGUAAGCCACCAUGCCUGGCCCUCCAAACUCCAUAAAAUAUCUUAAAGAGGUUUAUUCUGAGCCAAUGUGAGUGACCACAGCCUGGGGAAAAAAAAAAAAAAAAAACACAAACCCAAGAACCCUUCAGUAAGUAGUCCCGAGACAGUCAGGUUACAGUUUGGUUUUAUACAUUUUAUGGAGAUGAGUUACAGGCAAAGACAUAAAUCAGUACAUGAAAGGUAUCCAUUGGUUCAGCCCCAAAAGGUGAGCAUCUUGAAAUGGGGGCUUACAAGUCAUAGGUGGGUUUUAGGGAUGGUUGAGUUAUUGGUUGAGAGAGUUAAGCUGUUGUCUGAGGACUUGAAGAGUAGACAGGAAUGCUUGAGUUAAGGAGGCUCUGGGAGCCACGGCCCUUAUCACGUAGAAGCAGCCUCAUGGGUGGCAGCCCUCAGAGAAACAGACUAUAAAUGUCUCUUUUCAGACUUUUGAGGUGUUGGGCUCUUAGCUAAUCUCUCCUACAUCUGGGAAAGGCCUAGAAAGGGAAGGCCUGGCUGCAUCAAUGGCGAUUCUCCAAAGAUGUUAAUUUCCCCCACAAAGGACGGCUUUGGAGGGUCAUUUCAAAAUAGUUCAAAGAAAUUUAUUUUGGGGUAAAAUAUUGUGAUUGCUUUCAGGGUCUGCUGUCAUGUGAUGCUAUACCAGAGUCAGGUUGGGGAGUAAGCCACGUUAUACCAGGUUAAUAAAAAUCCAUUUAGUGAAAUUUUAUGGUUAGGGUGUGACUUCACCUUUGCCUCACAUGGCCACACGGCCUUAGGUCUUUUUUUUUUUUUUGAGAUGAGGUUUCACUCUUGUUGCCCAGGCUGGAGUGCAGUGGCGUGAUCUCAGCUCACUACAACCUCUGCCUCCCGGGUUCAAACCGUUCUCCUGCCUCAGCCUCCCAAGUAGCUGGGAUUACAGGCACGCACCACCACACCCGGCUAAUUUUGUAUUUUUAGUAGAGGUGGGUCAGACCUUGUUGGUCAGGCUGGUCUCAAACUCCUUAUCUCAGAUGAUGCACUUGCCUCGGCCUCCCAAAAUGCUGGGAUUACAGGCAUGAGCCAGCAUACCCCAGUGGCCUUAGGUCUUGUUUAUAAUCUGGUAUCUUAUUGCCACACAGAGUCUGUUUUGAUCAGUCUUUUGAUCUGCAUUUUAACCGUAAUGCUGGUCAGUCGGGCCUGAACUUGAAAAGGAAGUGGAUAUAAGGAGGUGCAUCUGAACUUCCAUCCCAUCGUGGCAGGCAUUCAGUUUUUUAGGUUUCUUUUGGUCAAGAGGGGGUCCAUGCAGUUGGUUGGAGGGCUUAGGAUUUUUUAUUUGUUUACACUAGAUAGACCUAAGAAUUUGAGCUUUGAAGCAAGAUAGAUCAUUGAUUUAUUUUUUAAAAAACACUUUGAGCUCAAGCAGUAUGCCAGUAAUACUCUUGGUGAGGAGGAGUAGAGAUAGAGGAUAUGCCUUGUUACUCGGCUGAGAACUGAAUUACAAAAGGAAGUUCCGUGAUAUCUUUGGACACAAAGGUCAUGGAUAAGCGUAUUCCACCACAGCCUGAGCAACAUAUUAAGACCCCAUCUCUACAAAAUAAAAGAAUAAAAAGUUAGCCAAACAUGGUAGCAUACGCCCCUAGACCCAGCUAGUCAGGGGGCUAAGGUGGGAGGAUUGCUUGAGCCCAGGAUGUUAAGUCUGCAGUGAGCCAUGAUUACACCACUGCACUCCGUCUUACAAAAAUAGAAAAGAAAAGAAUAUCCCAUUAGAAAAAAAAAAUGCAAAAACCUUAAGGUGAGAGCAAUCAAAUACGGCUAAUACCUGUUAUGGUGUGUAGUACACUGCCUGGUACAUAGAAGGAAUCCAGUUGUUAUUUUAGUUACAAAAUAACAUCAUUUUAGAAACAGUUUAAUGGCCAAUAAAAUGUUUAAUAAGUAAAAUAUGAUAGAUACAGCAAUAGAAUUUCAUCAUUUGCCAUCAUUUUUAAAAAUGAUAUUGUUGACAAAAAAAAGCCAAAGUCUGUAAAAUAUUUGAAGAGGCUUAUUCUGAGCCAGAUACAAGUGACCAUGGCCCAUGACGUAGCCUCAGGAUGACCUGAGAACAUGUGCCCAAGGUGGUUGGGUUAUAACCUGUCUGUAUACAUUUUUGGGAGACCAAAGUUAUAGGCAAAGACAUAAAUCAACACAUAUAAGGCAUGCAUUGAUUGAUUUAGCCCAGAAGGGCAGGACACCUGGAAGCAGGGGCUUCCAGGUCAUAGACGGAUUGAAAGAUUUCCUGAUUGUCAAUUGCUUGAAAGACUUAAGCUUUAUCUGAAGAGUUAUAGUCAGCAUAAAUAAAUAUUUGAGUUAAGUUGAGGGGGUGGUGGGGUGGAAGCCAAGGUUCUUGUUAUAUAGAUGAAGUCUCUAAAUAAUAGACUUCAGAGGGAAUAGAUGUCAAAUGUCUCUUACUGGACCUUAAAAGAUACUAGACUCUCCAGAAAAGAUUUAGCAAGGGAGGGAGAUUCUCUAUAGAAUGCAGAUUUCCCCCACUAGAGACGGCUUUGCAGAUCAUUUCAAAAUAUGUCAAAGAAAAUGCAUUUUGGGGUACAAUACUUUGAUUUCCCUUAGGACCUGCUAUCCAUCAUGUGAUGCUAUAUUAGAGUCAGGUUGAAAUUGGUAUCUUAGUGCUACUAAGAGUCUGUUUUGUCAGUGUCGGGAUCUCCAUUUUAGUGUUAGUGCUGGUCAGUUGUGCCUAAACUCCAAAGGGAGGAGGGCAUAAUGAGGCAUGUCCAACACCCCCUUUCUGUCAUGUCCUAAACUGGUUUUUCAAGUUCCUUUGGAAUCCCCUUCACCAAGAGUAGGGUUCAUUCAGGCAGUUGGGAGCUUAGAAUUUUAUUAUGGGCUUACAAUGUAUGAUAUAUAAAUAUAAGAGUUUUGUUUGUUUGUUUUUGAGAUGGAGUUUCGCUCUUGUCACCCAGGCUGGAGUGCAAUGGUGCAAUCUCGGCUCACUGCUACCUGCGCCUCCCAAGUUCAAGCGAUUCACCUUCCUCAGCCUCCCGAGUAGCUGGGAUUAUAGGCACCCACCAUCACGACCAGCUAAUUUUGGAAUUUUUAGUAGAGAUGGGGUUUCACCAUGUUGGUCAGGUUGGUCUCGAACCCCUUACCUCAGGUGAUUCACCCACCUCAGCCUCCCAAAAUGGUGGGAUUACAGGUAUGAGCGACCAUGCCCGGCCAGUAGAAAAGUUUAAAAUUAACAAAUAUAAUAUCUCAGUUUGUUUUGCAUGUGUGUACAUAGUAAAAUGAUUAGAAGGUUCUAUACUGUAGGGGUCAUCCAGGAAAAAAACUUCCCCAUCACCCUCUGAAGGUUCACUGAAAAAUCAACUCACCAAAGCCAGGUGAAUGAGAGAAAAGGUGUACAAAUUUAUUAACAUGCACACAGGGGAAAAUCAUAGAUUGAUUACACGACCCUCAAUGGAGUAGAGAAACUUUUACCUUAUAAUUGAAGUUACAGAAAGAAUGGGGGCUUGGAUCAAAACAGGUUAUGAAAAGAGAGGAAGAUGGCCGGGCGCGGUGGCUCACGCCUGUAAUCCCAGCACUUUGGGAGGCCGAGGCGGGCGGAUCACGAGGUCACGAGAUCGAGACCAUCCCGGCUAAAACGGUGAAACCCCGUCUCUACUAAAAAUACAAAAAAUGAGCCGGGCGUGGUGGCGGGCGCCUGUAGUCCCAGCUACUUGGGAGGCUGAGGCAGGAGAAUGGCGUGAACCCGGGAGGCGGAGCUUGCAGUGAGCCGAGAUCCCGCCACUGCACUCCAGCCUGGGCGACAGAGCGAGACUCCGUCUCAAAAAAAAAAAAAGAAAAGAAAAGAGAGGAAGAUGAGGCCUGGCUAGCAAAGGUGUUCCUGUUAAGUAAAUGAAAUCUCACAAGUAGGUGGUAAAACCUAGGCAUGAUGAGAGCGAGAAUAGAUGGUGAAUGUUUCUUUCAGACCCUUAAAGAUGUCAGACACUGAGUUAAUCUUUCCUAGAUCCAGACGAGGGAAGGCCUCGGAGAAUGCCUGGCCACCAUCAAUACAGAUUCUCUCCACAGAUGCAAAUCUCCCCCACAAAAGAUAGCUUUGCAGAGCUACUUCUGUUUGCAGGGCCUCUGAAAGGCCAUCUCAAAAAUAUGUCAAAGAAAUGUAUUGUAGGGUCGGGUAUUUUGGUUUUCCUCAGUGAAGAGCACUUGAACGCACUGGACAUCUGAUAAAUGGAAGAAACGUGGUCUGAGUUGGGAAAAGCUAAGAGGCCAUCGUGGAGCAGCAUCACCUCAGGUGCAGUCUGUAGCAGACCGUUUUCUGGCUCCUGCGCGUGAGUGGUAAGCCAGAGCCCUCGCCCUGUAAUGAGGGCCAGGAACACCUAUCAGUAGGCAAAGCUUGAAGUCACUUUUGGAGCUCCUAGGUUGGGGAAAAGCAAGUGAGGCUGUUAUAUUCCUUGGAGAACAGAUUCUGUCUGGAGGCUGCUCAUCAGCCACUUUGAGUUAUUUUUAUUGACCUUCAGCUGUUUUUGCCCGGAGGCAUUUUAAAGAUGCCCGUGGGCCUUGGGCUGUUUUACAAUUACAAUAGCUUAUUUGAAUUGCUAGUUGUAGAAAUGCGUGCACAGCAGGGUCUUCGCUCUGUCCUUCCCUGGCUUCUGGGGUGCUUCAGAGGUUGAGGAAACCUGAUUUGCUGUCACUUGACAAGCCCACUUGUCUGAUUCAGCAGUUACCUGCCCUUCUCAGAUAGACUGCGAUGAUUUAACCUUACAUUUAUUUUAACACCCUGCUCUUAAAAGGUAUGUAAAAAGGUCUAGAAACUGCUCUAGAUAUUAUGAAAAAAAUCAUAGUAUGCUUGAUUUUCUUGAUCAAUGUUCACACCUUUCACAUAAACGAACUUAUCAAAUGUUAUAUAUAAAGUUUCAGUGCUGCAAAAGAAAAUAUCACUCAAAUAUAAAAUUUUCUUUUUAAUUCUCAGCAAGACACGUUACUUCUAUAUAGAAGGGUGCGCCCUUACAGAUGGAACAAUGGUGAGCGCAUACUUGGACAAGGGAGGGGAAGGGGUUCUUAUCCCUGAUGCCCGUGGCCCUUGCUGCUGUGUCAUUCCCUUAUUGGCUAGGGUUAGACCGCACAGGCUAAACUAAUUCCGAUUGACUAAUUUAAAGAGAGUCACUGGGUGAGUGCUUUGGCAGGAGUCAGGGCAGAGCAGGUUGGGGGUAAUUGGAAUGAGUUAGGGUGGAGCAGGUGAUUGGAAUGUAGGGUGCAGCAGGUGAUCAGAAUGAGUCAGGGUGGAGUAGGUAAUUGGAAUGAGUCAGGGUGGAGUAGGUAAUCGAAAAAGGUUGCUUUACGAGGAAGUUAAGUUUAAAAGUAGACGGCAAAGAAUUGAACAUAUUGACAUAUUCUUUGAAAAGAAAUUUAGAAUUCAUAUCUAACAUUGAAUUUCAGGAAAUUUUUGUUAUGCCUAACUUUUUGAAGUGAUUAUUAAAAACAGCAAGUUCUCCAGCAUAUUCCUUCAGUCAGAUAUACUUUAUAGAAUUAUGAGGCCUGUGCAGUGGUUCACACCUGUAAUUUCAACACUUAGGGAGGCUGAGGCAGGAGGAUCGCUUAAGCCCAGCAGUUCGAGACCAGCCGGGGCAACAUUGCAAGACCCCGUGUCUAUGAAAACAAAACAAAAAAAAAAUUAGCCAGGCAUGAUGGUGCACACCUGUAGUCCCAGCUUCUCAGGAAGCUGAGGUGGGAGGAUUGCUUGAGCCUGGCAAUUGGAGGCUGCAGUGAGCUGUAAUCACCCUGUCUCAAAAGAAAAAAAUAUGUAUAUGAAAUGUCAUUUGUUUGAUAGAAGUUUGAAGUCACUUGUCACAAAUGUUCAUUCUUUAAUUAACCCAUGAAAACCCACAGUAAUGUAUUAAGCCUUAUUUGUUCCUUUUAAGCCUGGGUGUUUACUGAUACCUUAUUCCCAUAUUCAAUGUCUUAUUGGAAUAAUCGACCACAGUUUUAUUCUACCUCCUCUUUUCUCUUUAAGCAUCCUGCGUUUUACCUAAAAGAUUAAGCACUAAAAAAAAAAAAAUUCCCGGUAAUAUUUGUUGAAUGAUGCCAUCUACAUGCUAGUUUAGGACAUCUGAUUUUUUUGGGGGGGGGAUGGGGGAGAAGGGGUUAAUCUGCUCUGUGGUUGCAGCAACAAACCAACGUACUUGCCUUCAAGGUUUUAUUCUAAUGCUGGAGAAGCUUAAUAAAAACUUUGUGAUAAGUUACACAGCUGUUAACUGACCCAAAGAAAAGUAAAGUCAAGGUUAGGAAAUACUGAAGGAAGCAUACACGUCCUAUGUUGCAGAGAGUGAUUAGAGGAAACCCCAGGAUGAGGCAUGUCAACUAAGAAGAGAUGACAAACCAGACCGCAAUGCAGUAAGACAAGACAUUUAUUGGGCCCUUAGGAAUUAUAAUUCAGGAGACACAGAUUUGGCUGUAAGCCAAAUUGUGUUCCAAACCAAGUGAGGGUUUUUCAAAGGAAACUAAAGGAUUACACAAGUUGUUUUGAAGGAAUUAUCAUGGGUGGAGGCGGCCGGCUUAGCACAAGUCCAUAGUUCAUUUAUUGUUGCUGUUUAGGAGUUGCAGCGCUGGUGAAAUUCAGCUGUUUUUCAGGAUAUCAUGGUUGUGGUGGUUAGGUGCACUUCAAAGAUUCAAGGCAAGGUACUGGGUUGUUUUGCAAGGUUGCCAGUGGUGCAGGCAGCCCUGAGAAUGGAUUCUGCUUUAGAGCCCUGAACUGUAGUGAUGCCGUUUUCUAUGUUUCACAGAUAACAUUUGAGCAGAGACCUAACUGAAGUGAAGGGGCCAAGUCAUGGUAUCUGGGAGAGGAACAUUCUAGCCAUAGAGAAUGUGAGGUAUCAUUCAUUAAGAUUCAAAAAAUAAUUCUGUGACUCUAGCGUUGCAGGAAAAAAAACGGGGUUCUUGUCACACGACCAGGAAAGAUUAGGCUCGCAGACACGUAGAAGGGUGACAAGUGGAAUUUAUUAGGCAGAAAUGAAAAAGGAAAUACGCAUCAGCAAAGUGAGAUAAGAGUCCUGCUAACAGGCUCUCCAUCUCAGGGAUUAAAUCCCACCUUACCACACAGAAACGAGAGAGACCAGGCUCCUCCCCCCUGCAAACAGUGCAAACUUCCCAAGGCCCCACCCCCUCCUCCCAAUGUGCAGAUGGGCGUUAUUCAGAAAGAAUCAUUUGGGGAAAAGGGUGGGCUUCAUCCGGACCGGCAGUCUGGUUUUUCAUCCCUCAUGCUGUUUUAGGCUUGAAGGCGGCAUUUCGUCAGGUGUUGGGGGCAGGAGGGGUCCUUGGCUGCCUCCUGUCUCUAUCACUGGUGUUUAUAUUUUUCCUGAAAAAAAUGAUGUAGUGAGAGUCAUUUUGGGAUUUGUUGCUUCCCACACACGUUUCCGGUAACCCUUAGCUAAUGAUGCAUGCUCUUGUGUUCUGACCUGUUUUCCAACCUCAGCCCAAGCCAUGUAAAUUCUUCCUGCACGUCUAGUAAUGGCUGCCAGUGAAACCGUCUCCUGGCCAAGUGGGGAAAGAUACUUGUUUUUAAGUUAGAUCUGAGCGACUCUGUGGCUCAUCUUUUGGGUAGAAAGUUCUCCAACAGCUUUUGUCUCUUCUAUUGUCUACUUUUAUUGUUUGCAUUCAUGUUUGAUAUCUCCAAUGUCAAUACAGGACUUGGGACAAAAUGAAAACAAUAAAUAUAUUAAUCGGAGUAAAUGUGUCACACUUAGCUCUCUUCCCAGUUAAGGGUGGUAUGUGCUAAGUGUUUCUGUUAAAAAUGCAUCAGUAGGCCGUGUGCGGUGGCUCAUGCCUGUAAUCCCAGCACUUUGGGAGGCCGAGGCAGGCGGAUCACGAGGUCAGGAGAUCAAGACCAUCCUGGCCAACAUAGUGAAACCCAUCUCUACUAAAAUACAACAACAUUAUCCAGGCGGGUGGCGGGCGCCUGUAGUCCCAGCUAUUGGGGAAGCUGAGGCAGGGGAAUGGCUUGAACCCAGGAGGUGGAGGUUGCAGUGAGCCGAGAUCACGCCGCUGCUCUCCAGUCUGGCAACAGAGCAAGACUCCGUCUCAAAAGAAAAAAAAAAAUGCAUCAGUAACGUUAAAGCGGUGUUCUCAAACAUUGACUUACAAAAAAAAUUCCGAAUACAUGAAUGAAAUGUCAACCUGAAGUAACUGAAAGCAUCAGAAUCCAAUUUUAGAGUUUAUUCAAGCAAGAAUCUGGGAAACAUGGACUCCAGAGAAAUGAGGCCAGUGCUCUGAAGUAAAAACUUAAGGUCUUGCUUAUAUAUGGGCAGAAACAAAGAAAUUUAGUAGGAUUGUAACUUUUUUUUAUGUAAGGCUGCUUUGUGGGUUAUAAUAAUUUAGUUAUUUUUCUUUUCCGUACAGCUUGUUUUUCUUCUUUACAGCUUGUUAUCAUUUACUUCACAAUUUAAAAGAGUUCAUUUAACAUUCCACCUUAGACAAUGUGAUAGUCAUCAUCAAGUCUUUGUGUGAGAAAGAAAGCAGACUCCUCCCUGCGUGAGUUGUAUCUUCAACUGUGUCAUUGAUUAGAACUUCAGAACUCCCUUCUUAUCAAGGUAGCCUGUUUCUUCAUGCUUUAGGCUACAUACUUUAAGGAUUUUGUUUUAAAGAUACUUUAAGUUGUUUAGUUCUAUCACUGAGAAAAUAGAACAGUCUUAAAAAUGCCUUGUGCUUUUUACAGCUAGUAUAGAUGAUGUCUCACUUAUAUUAGUACAGAACUUCUGCUAAGUAUAUCUUUGUUUUCAAGUUCAUUAAAGUGCUGGGUUUAUUUUGGAAUGCCAUCAUUGGGAUUGCUUUAUAUUGUGAAUAUCUUUCUCCGUUAACCUCAGGAAAUUCAAGAUAUUUUGCAUUAGAACUACCUCAUCCCCACAUACCUGUUUCUUGGCCUGGCAGGAUUUGCAUUGUCGGCCUUCACGCCAAGACUCUUGGUGAGGCCCUGAAAAAUAAAUUACUUCUCAUUAAUGUGUAUAUGGCUAAUUCUCUCUCUCUACUCUGAGGGGAAUAAAAUGGUUUUUUUGUCAUUUUACAUGGAACAAUGGGAGAAUAUUUUCAAGACAACAGACAGGAAGUAAAGAUUAAUAUGUUAAAUGAAAACAAUAGGCAAUGCUCAUACUAUGUCUUUCUAUCCAUAUUAUGACUUUCUAUCCAUAUUAUGACUUUCUGAUAGUAAACAUGAGGAAAA